GGCUCAGAUGAAACGCGGGCGGCAUGCUUAACACAUGCAAGUCGAACGGUAACGGGCCUUCGGGUGCCGACGAGUGGCGAACGGGUGAGUAACGCGUAGGAAUCUGUCUUGUAGUGGGGGGGAACCCGGGGAAACUCGGGCUAAUACCGCAUACGUCCUGAGGGGGAAAGUGGGCCUCUGUUUACAUGCUCACGCUAUAAGAGGAGCCUGCGUCCGAUUAGCUAGUUGGUGGGGUAAAAGCCUACCAAGGCGACGAUCGGUAGCUGGUCUGAGAGGACGAACAGCCACACUGGGACUGAGACACGGCCCAGACUCCUACGGGAGGCAGCAGUGGGGAAUAUUGGACAAUGGGGGCAACCCUGAUCCAGCGAUGCCGCGUGUGUGAAGAAGGCCUGCGGGUUGUAAAGCACUUUCAGGAAAGAGAAAAGGAGUGCGGCUAAUAACCGUAUUCUGUGAUGUUAUUUUCAGAAGAAGCACCGGCUAACUCUGUGCCAGCAGCCGCGGUAAUACAGAGGGUGCAAGCGUUAAUCGGAAUUACUGGGCGUAAAGGGCGCGUAGGUGGCUAUUUAAGUUGGAUGUAAAAUACCCGGGCUUAACCUGGGUUUGCCAUCCAAGACUGGAUAGCUAGAGGUCAGCAGAGGGAAGCGGAAUUUCCGGUGUAGCGGUGAAAUGCGUAGAUAUCGGAAGGAACACCAGAGGCGAAGGCGGCUUUCUGGGCUGCACCUGACACUGAGGCGCGAAAGCGUGGGUAGCGAACAGGAUUAGAUACCCUGGUAGUCCAUGCUGUAAACGAUGAAAACUAGCCGUUGGUAACGUAAAGUUAUCGGUGGCGCAGCUAACGCAUUAAGUUUUCCGCCUGGGG
rnacentral:rRNA from 1 species